rnacentral:rRNA from 1 species
UACGUAGGGCGCAAGCGUUAUCCGGAAUCAUUGGGCGUAAAGCGCACGUAGGCGGUUUGUUAUGUCGGAUGUGAAAGCCCUUGGCUCAACUGAGGAAGUGCAUCCGAAACUGGCAAGCUAGAGUACUAAAGAGGGUCGCGGAAUUCUCGGUGUAGAGGUGAAAUUCGUAGAUAUCGGGAGGAACACCAGUGGCGAAGGCGGAGACCUGGGCCAAUACUGACGCUGAGGUGCGAAAGCGUGGGGAGCAAACAGG